AUUGUUAUGCUCAUUUAACUAUUAUGUUAUUUGAUGUGAAUAAACUAUGUAAACCUUUUUAGAUUCCAAAGGUACGUAUGUAAGUUAAGGUUGUUACCUGGGGUUAUGUUGUAAGAGCUUAUUGUAUGGACAAAUUAAGUUUAUAAUUCCGCAUUAGUUUAUAGAAUAUGUAUGAAGAUAAUGUAUCGUGAUGCACCAGUUCUGAGGUUCAAAAGACCCGGAUUUGGGGGCGCU
rnacentral:lncRNA from 1 species